rnacentral:sRNA from 1 species
AUGUGCCACUUGUACACUCCGGUUUCCUCCGCGCCGUCCACACUCGCCUGCUGGCUGCUCGCUACGUUUUGUUAGCC